rnacentral:rRNA from 1 species
AACGAACGCUGGCGGCAUGCCUAACACAUGCAAGUCGAACGAGACCUUCGGGUCUAGUGGCGCACGGGUGCGUAACGCGUGGGAAUCUGCCCUUGGGUUCGGAAUAACAGUUAGAAAUGACUGCUAAUACCGGAUAAUGUCUUCGGACCAAAGAUUUAUCGCCCAGGGAUGAGCCCGCGUAGGAUUAGCUAGUUGGUGAGGUAAAGGCUCACCAAGGCGACGAUCCUUAGCUGGUCUGAGAGGAUGAUCAGCCACACUGGGACUGAGACACGGCCCAGACUCCUACGGGGGGCAGCAGUGGGGAAUAUUGGACAAUGGGCAAAAGCCUGAUCCAGCAAUGCCGCGUGAGUGAUGAAGGCCUUAGGGUUGUAAAGCUCUUUUACCCGGGAUGAUAAUGACAGUACCGGGAGAAUAAGCCCCGGCUAACUCCGUGCCAGCAGCCGCGGUAAU